rnacentral:snRNA from 1 species
GAGGGCGGCCUGGCUGUGACAUCUGUCACCCCAUUGAUGGCCAGGGUUGAUUCGGCUGAGCUGGCAGGCGGGUGUCCCCUUCCUUCCUC